rnacentral:lncRNA from 1 species
GGCAAAUGCAAAGCUGUACAGAAACUGCAGGAAAAUGAACGAUGCUUUUUUCAUUCUAAAUGAGCUCUACCAUUUUCAUUCUUAGCUGCUUCAUUGCUGUGAAGCAAUAUCACUGAGGUGACAAGGAGGAAAGCGAGGCACAGUGGAUCAUGAUCUGUCUCCUGUAAUAAGGUGUCAGAUAUGGUUGCUUAAGCACAGGCUACCUCUACGUGGUCUACCUCUAGACUGCCCACUGAGUCGCCAAUGGUUGGACAACUAGAAUCACCUAGUGCCAGAUGGAGUGCCUGUCAGCUGGCUGCUUUUGAACGGAUGAAAUUACACCCUGGUGGUCCUGGGCUGCAGAAGGAAGUUCUUUAUCAACAACCCAUGUAAGCCUUGACUGCCAGUUUUCCGUGCCCACCAUUAAUGAUGAAACCAUUUUUGCUGUUAAUUAAUGACUUCCAUGAUCCGUAAUUCCACAGAUUUGUUGCUGGUGGCAGUUACGCUUCUGUCCUGAUGCUUUGUUAUUAUAGCAGAUGGUUUGUAGGAAACUGUCAUCUUGAAAGUCAAGGAGUGGGAGCUUAUCUAGCAUUGUAGAGGAUGGACGGAAUACAACCUUCAGCGUCCUCUGAAGCACAGCCCUACUGAGCCCAAAUUCCUAAAAAAUAGCCAACAUUGCAAAGAAAGAGAAAUGUUCUUCCUGCUGAAACCAAUGAGAAGCUUACGUACAGAGUAGGGGACCCAGGUCAUAUGUCAUAUAUUCUGUUACAGAUUUGGAAACGUGCUCCUUUUUCUUCACAGCAUUGAUGCUAAACAGACAUUUUCAUUUCUAAGUGCUUUCUUUCUUUCCUUUGUUACUCCAAGCUGCCAAAAUUAG